GGGGGCGUAAAGGUUUCGACGGGGAUUUUGCAGUAUGGUAAGCGAGCCGAGAUGUGGUAACUCGUUAAACAACCUCAAACUUAAAAUUAAACGCUAACAAUAAUAAAGUAGCUCUCGCUGCCUAAGUGCGGCGAUGUCCGCCCGAUGAGUACCGCGACUUCGGCUCGGGCAUCAUUCAGCGGUGAACGUGAACGGCCUUUUUGCUUUUGAAGCUGUCACGCAUAAAAAAGCUACCAAGCAAAGCAGCCUGUUUAUCGGCGGCUCUGCAAGGGAAUUUUAAAAGAUAAACUGCGCUCGGAGAAAGCUAUAUGAAUAGAUUUUCGGACAGGGGUUCGAUUCCCCUCGCCUCCACCA
rnacentral:tmRNA from 1 species